CACACCGCCCGUCACAUCAUGGGAGUUGGUUUCACCCGAAGGCACUGACUCAACCGCAAGGGGAGAAGUUUCUAAGGUGAGGCCGAUGGCUGGGAUG
rnacentral:rRNA from 1 species